rnacentral:tRNA from 1 species
AGCGGGAAUAGCUCAGUUGGUAGAGCAUAACCUUGCCAAGGUUAGGGUCGCGAGUUCGAGUCUCGUUUCCCGCUCCAG